rnacentral:rRNA from 1 species
GUGUCUCUAUCAGAGUUUGAUCCUGGCUCAGGAUGAACGCUAGCGAUAGGCUUAACACAUGCAAGUCGAGGGGUAACAUGGGAGUAGCUUGCUACUUCUGAUGACGACCGGCGGAUGGGUGAGUAACGCGUAUGCAACUUGCCUCUUAGUGGGGAAUAACCCGGAGAAAUCCGGACUAAUACCGCAUACACUUAGUUAUCCGCAUGAUGAUGAGAAGAAAGGUGGCCUCUUGAAAAAGCUACCACUGAAGGAGGGGAUUGCGUCUGAUUAGCUAGUUGGAGGGGUAACGGCCCACCAAGGCGAUGAUCAGUAGCCGGUCUGAGAGGAUGAACGGCCACAUUGGGACUGAGACACGGCCCAA